rnacentral:rRNA from 1 species
AUGUCGGCGUCAACCAGCGGCGGCGGGGGGCUCUCGCCGCAGGCGGCCGCGGCGCUCCAGGAGGGCAUCGGGCUUGUGUUCGGGCGGUGGACGGCGCUGCAGAUGGCGGUGGAGAACGGGUGGGGCGGCCGCGACUCCCGCGCCAAGGCCGACCGGCUCGCCGCCGACGUCCUCUCCUUCUUCACCAACUCCAAAGGUCCAUAUUAUUAUGAUGACUUGGAGGAGAUGAUGUUUGACAGCAUAUCCGAAUCCUUCAACGCUGACUUUGAGGAUGGAAGUGUUGGGGAGGUUGCUGAACAGGUAUUGAUUAUGCAUGAAGAAUGCCUGCAAAACAACUAUUCGUCGAUUGAGAAGCUAAGGAACACACGUGCUCAAGGAAAUGCUGUUUCCCAAAGUAGAAUGAUGGUAACUGAUGAAGGCGAUGAUAGCUCGGAUGAUAGCUCGGACGAUGACGACGGCGAUGAACCAGCCAGGGCAGAUGAUAUGUUGGUGGAUGAGCCAAAGCCUUCCAAGCCUGCCCCUGAUGCUGAUGGGUGGACUGUUGUGCCACCGAAGCGCGGCGGCCGGGGCAAGAAUUAA